rnacentral:rRNA from 1 species
GAUGAACGCUGGCGGCGUGCCUAAUACAUGCAAGUCGAGCGAACAGAUGAGGAGCUUGCUCCUCUGACGUUAGCGGCGGACGGGUGAGUAACACGUGGAUAACCCACCUGUAAGACUGGGAUAACUUCGGGAAACCGGAGCUAAUACCGGAUAAUAUAUUGAACCGCAUGGUUCAAUAGUGAAAGACGGUUUUGCUGUCACUUAUAGAUGGAUCCGCGCCGCAUUAGCUAGUUGGUAAGGUAACGGCUUACCAAGGCAACGAUGCGUAGCCGACCUGAGAGGGUGAUCGGCCACACUGGAACUGAGACACGGUCCAGACUCCUACGGGAGGCAGCAGUAGGGAAUCUUCCGCAAUGGGCGAAAGCCUGACGGAGCGACGCCGCGUGAGUGAUGAAGGUCUUCGGAUCGUAAAACUCUGUUAUUAGGGAAGAACAAAUGUGUAAGUAACUAUGCACGUCUUGACGGUACCUAAUCAGAAAGCCACGGCUAACUACGUG